rnacentral:lncRNA from 1 species
AGCUAUCUUGAAGAUGAACCGUUAUGUGUAUUUAGUGUUUAUUUUGCUUAGUCAUUAUUUUUCUUUUAUUUUUUACUUCUUAAGUGUAUUUGCUGUUUUUUCUUUUAUUUUUUAAUGUUGACGUGUACUAAUGACAUGGCACUUGACCGGAACACGUCAAAUAUCGGUCGCCGGAAAAUUUUUGCGGGCCAUAAAUAAGAAAAAAAUUGAAACAAUGGGUAUUGUUUUGUAAUUAUGCUUAGGAUGAGAUAUUUUUGAUAAAACGAUCAACAAUAGGCCAAAAAGUGAUAUUUACCCUAUUUAAU